AAUAAUAAUAUUUUUUAUUUAAAGAAGAUAAAAGAAGAGAAAAGAAAAGAAGAAAAAAAGAAAGUGUAAACUGAGGAGGAAAGUAAACUAAUCCACCUUACAUGCAUGGCAAGUAGUGCUUCAGAGAGAGAGAGAUGCUCAGGAGUUCUUAUUAAUUUAAAAUUUCAAACUAAAGAGGAGAAGGACAACGACAUAGAGAGAGAAAGAGGUGAAGUGUCAAAUUCAAGAACAGGAUCUCAUAGGUAGGGGCAAUUCUCCAAAGCAAAAAACAAACGUAAUCUAAUAUUUGUGUUUUUGAUGUCUCCCUAAAUGAGGGCUUUAUUGUUUUUCCGCUUUCUUGCAGGAGGGAUUCAUUUUCCUAUGUUCAUCAGGUCAGUGAUUUUAUAUGCAUAUGUGUAUUAUAUAUGUAUUUAUCUGUGUAAAACAACUUACUAUUUAUUUCCUUGGUUCUUUCUCGCUUUCUCAAAUUGUUUCUAUA
rnacentral:lncRNA from 1 species